GGGUGACGGAUCGCAUCCUGCCAGCUGGCUAAUAUUGUAAUUAACAAAGUUGCAACUACAUUGGAGAAGUUUAAUCGAAAAAUUUGCUGGCACUAUGAUGGCAUUGUCCCAGAGAUCACAAGCUAGACAGACACGACUUUUGCUCUGGGAGAAGGUGAGAUGAGGAAGCUGAACUUGUCCAGCCUAA
rnacentral:lncRNA from 1 species